UUCGCCAAGUAUCUCACAAUGGGUAUAUUUAGAUUUUUUAAAGUCAGACACCAUUUUAAUCAGGAAAAUCACCUCCUUCUAAUGACAUACGGUUGGGCAGUGUACUCUGCUGUCAUCGAUCGCUAGAUUAGAAAUUGUCUUUUUUCUCUCUACCUCUUUGUUAUGCACACUUGGCACCAUAAAGGUUCUGCAGUCUCUCCCGUGGUUGUCUGGGCGCAGCUGGGGCAGAAGAGGAAGCAACCCCUGCUGGUCUAUGAGACUUUGUGCGACCUAACUGGCCUGGCGUGUUAAGGUGCCCUAUAAGUGAAGACUGAGCAGCUCUGUGGACAUGGCUGAAGGAUGUGUGUGGUCUGAUGAAGCUGAGGGGGAAGUUCCAGCUAAGAGGACAGGAUAACACUGCCAUGGGGGCCCGCAGAGAGCUGGAUGGAAUGGUCCACUCAAAGUGGGUGAGCGAUGGGGCUGAAGCGACCAAGAUGGGGCCACCUGAUACCCCAGGUCUACCAGGAGAGAGGAAACAGUGGAUGGAGACGACAACAAUAAUGGCCCUGGCUGCCCUAGGACACCAUGUGGGAGAGCUGCUAGCUAGAAGGUAUUGGAGACCUUUAUGUUCAAGGGGACUUUGUUUGUUUUUAGUAAAUAUGGGGUGUUUAUUUAAAAAAGUGCUUUUGCUAACCGGUGUGUGAAACAUAAUGUGUCAUUUUGCAGUGUUUUCACUCACUCUGCGAGGAAACUCUCAUUUUAAAGUGGGUGAGAAUGUCACAGGAGUCACUACUUUACAUGUGUAACAAUCAAGCAUUCCUAUUGGAUGGUUAAUGUGUCAAGUGAUUGAAUUGUGUAUUUAAAUCCCCCUUCCCCACAGGAAGGGGUGUAGUCCAGAGGCAUGGUGGAUCCUUGUUGCAACAGAGCUUAUGACCUGCCAUUGGCAUUAAACAAAGCCUGUGUGUACAUGCAUGCUGAUGAUUCAACCAUAUACGUGUUAGCAACCACAGCUAAUGAAGUCACUGAAAUUCUUAACAAGGAGUUGCAGUCAGUUUUGGAAUGGGUGGCGAGACAAUAAACUGGGGUUGAACAUCCCUACAACUAAGAGCAUUGUAUUUGGUACAAAUUAUUCCCUAAAUUCUAGACCUCAACUGAAUCUGGUAAUGGUGUGGCUGUUGAACAAGUUGAGGAGACUAAAUUACUUGGUGUUACCUUAGAUUGUAAACUGUCAUGGUCAAAUAAUAUAGAUUCAAUGGUUGUAAAGAUGGAGAGGUCUGUCCAUACUAAAGAGAUGACACCAGACUCAAAAAAGCAAGUCCUGCAGGCUCUAGUUUUUGCUUAUCUUGAUUAUUGUCCAGUCAUGUGGUCAAGUGCUGCAAAGAAAGACCUAGUUGAGCUGCAGCUGGCCCAGAACAUAGUGGCAUGUUUUUUUUAUUUAACUAGGCAAGCCCGUUAAGAACAAAUUCUUAUUUAUAAUGACAGCCUACACUAGCCAACUGCACCACCCUACGGGUACUGCCAAACACCACUGGUUGUGUUACAGCCAGGUGGCCCAGGGUAUCUGCAGUGAUGCCUCCAGCAUUGAGAUGCGGUGCCUUAGACCACUGCACCACUUGGGAGCUCAAUAUUAGAACAGUUAAUUCCCAUAACGGGAGUCAAACCUGGGCCACCUGGGUGAAAACCAGGAAUCCUAACCGCUAGACCAUAUGGGAACCAAUCAUGUCUUGCUCUUCAUUGUAAUCAGAGGGCUAAUAUAAAUACUAUGCAUACCAGUCUCUAUUGGCUAAGAGUUGAGGAGAGACUGACUGUCACUUCUUUUUAUAAGAAACGUGAAAAUUGUUUGCAUAGUCAACUUACACACAGCUCUGAUACACACAUUUACCCCACCAGACAUGCCACCAGGGGUCUUUUCACAGACCCCAAAUCCAAAACAAAUUCAAGAAAGCGUACUGUAUUAUAUAAAGCCGUUAUUGUAUGGAACUCCCUUCCAUCUCAUAUUGCUCAAAAGAACAGCAAAACCUAGUUUAAAAAAACAGAAAGCAAUUCCUCUCCCCCUUUUGACCUAGAAAUUGUGUGUAUGUAUUGAUAUAUAGGCUAUGUGUGCCGUUUUUAAAUGUAUGUAGUUCUGUCGUUGAGCUGUUUUUGUCAAUAAAUGUUCUGUAUAAUGUUAUGUUUUGUGUGGACCCCAGGAAGAGUAGCUGCUGCUUCCGCAACAGGUAAUGGGGAUCCUAAUAAAAUACCAAAUUAAGCUUCAAUCAAUUCUGCCUCACGCCCCACCACUACAGAGUUUAGUUAGCUUAUUAGUUAGCUGUAAAAGGUGUUAGUGUUAUUAGCCUAUUUAGCGCUAACCAGCUAAUCUGCCAAUGCCACAAUGGAUAUCGGAAAUCAAACCAUCGAAGAUGCCGCCAAGCCCAGCAGCAAUGAUGGUGCUGAGCUCCAUAUGCUGAGCUCCAGAGCCCCCCCCAUUCACAUAUGCCGCCAGGAUAAUGGCUCCACAGUCCCCUCCACCCCUGACUGUUCCUGACAAUCUUGGAAGAGGAGCCAGCCCAGAUUAGCCUAGAAUCCUACCAUAACAACAUGUUUUCUGUCCAAAAACAUUAAUUUAAUAUCAACUGCUUCAUAGGAGGAGAGUGGCUGGAAUACUCAGUUACUGCAAAUGCUGUAUUUUUGUUCCAAUGUCGAAAGUUCUGUAUUGGGUGCAUUGCUAAUGCAGACAAGGCCUUCACCCAAAGCGGGUAUUCUAACUAGAAGCAUGCUUUUGAUGAAACCAAGGGAUUCGCUAGGCACGCAUCAAGCAUGGAGCAUUUGAAAUGCACUGCACUGUGGAAAGAAAAACUAAUUGUAUUCAGUUGCAUUCACAUAGGCUGUUUGUAAUAGGUGAAUUACCCCAUCUAUCUUGUAGCCUAUAUUCAUUGGCAAAUAGUAAGGCGCUGUCCAUUGUGCUGAUACAGUGCAGCGGAGAUGGGUUUAUAGAUUUCGCGACAACCUGUCACUUCAAAAGCACUCAAUGGUCUCAGAGUUUUGGCAUUUUAACUUUGUUUGUGGUAUAGCGUGAUAUAAUCAGAAUUCAAUACAUUUCCAAUGCAAGAACCCCCCCCCCUGUGUCCCCUCACCGAUUUCAACUGUCCCCUUAGUCACUUUAACUUGCCGCAGGGUCUGUGCUGUAUGCCUGGGAGAAUCUCGAUGCCCUUUUCUGAAAUAGAUUUGGUCAACUCUUGCGAACUCUCUCCCGUCCUCUCUAACCUCCUUUUGAAAAAGGUCAAAAGGUAAUUGAGGAGGCCGCUAGGAGAGGGAUCGUGGACGAAGAUGCGGUUGUUUGAAAUCAGACUCUCCUUUUCCAAUCGCGCGUCAUAAAUGUAUAAAGUAGUUGUGCAAGACAUUUUAUAGAUAAAAGGAUCAUUAGCAUAUUGUUUUUAAAUGGUUGCAUGCUUUUCUACUUCGAGUAAACAAUGGCUGAUUCAAAGGGGGUGUAAAAAGAUUUCCAAUCUCUUCCGCGAAGGACUCAGGUUGUGCUUCCUCGCCAAUAGCAGGCUAUUGAGGAGGGGACCGUGUUCUGUUUUUCCACUAAUGAACUGAAACAUUCCUCGACCACUUAUCGGUUUCCGGCUCACUGAGGAGUUUGCCCAAAGGAGAACUCCAAUUGCAUACUCAUGUCCUCUCUCCUCACCUCCUUCUCAAAGAGAAAAAGGGUAUACAGAAAUGAAGCAUUCUAAGUGAAUUGUGAAAACGAGUUGAGAAUGUGUUGAAACUUGAUUACAGAAACGAAACCAUGUCUUAUGAAAAUAAAUGUUGAAAACUG